AUUGAACGCUGGCGGCAGGCCUAACACAUGCAAGUCGAACGGUAACAGGAAGAAGCUUGCUUCUUUGCUGACGAGUGGCGGACGGGUGAGUAAUGUCUGGGAAACUGCCUGAUGGAGGGGGAUAACUACUGGAAACGGUAGCUAAUACCGCAUAACGUCGCAAGACCAAAGAGGGGGACCUUCGGGCCUCUUGCCAUCGGAUGUGCCCAGAUGGGAUGAGCUAGUAGGUGGGGUAACGGCUCACCUAGGCGACGAUCCCUAGCUGGUCUGAGAGGAUGACCAGCCACACUGGAACUGAGACACGGUCCAGACUCCUACGGGAGGCAGCAGUGGGGAAUAUUGCACAAUGGGCGCAAGCCUGAUGCAGCCAUGCCGCGUGUAUGAAGAAGGCCUUCGGGUUGUAAAGUACUUUCAGCGGGGAGGAAGGGAGUAAAGUUAAUACCUUUGCUCAUUGACGUUACCCGCAGAAGAAGCACCGGCUAACUCCGUG
rnacentral:rRNA from 1 species